rnacentral:lncRNA from 1 species
CAUACGGGUGAGCCUGGUAGGGUCACGUAACCUAGUGGUCUAUGCAUUACUGUGCACAGAAGGCUGACGAUCUAGACACCAUGGGCAUGUUAGGAUAGACCCUCAUGCACGGGUGCACUCGCCAAUUCACGCGAGGCAUCAUGCAUGUACACUCGUGCAAUAAUGUAUGGCCAUGCGCUCAUUUACGCCACACGACACAUGCACGAACACUGAUGACAUGAUGUAUGUCUUCACUCUCUCUUCCAUGUGGCAUAGUGUGCAUUUUGCACACACUGUCCCGCGCCUAGGCACUUAGUCAAGCGAACAUAUGUGGGCAUAUCGUGUAUGCCAGAGACAGACCCCACACUAUGGAUGUUCCAAGGCGAUCACCGUGCAUGCACGCGCAUGUCUUCUGCAUGCUCCGUCGAUGCGCAAGCAUGCUUGGCAAAGCCUGUAUACGAGUGCACUGCUAUGCAGGCACUGUAUGCAUGAGGCCCUGUCCUAGCAUAUAUACAUGCGUAGACAGUGUCCCUCGCAUAUCAUGCAUGCAAUUGUUCCCAUGAUGCAAUCUAUCAUGGCACCUCAGUGCCCUUUCCACUAG